AGAGUUUGAUCAUGGCUCAGGACGAACGCUGGCGGCGUGCUUAACACAUGCAAGUCGAACGAGGUCCACCGCGUAGCAAUACAAGGGAAGACCUAGUGGCGAACGGGUGCGUAACACGUGAGGAACUUGUCCCGGUCUCUGGGAUAACAGUUGGAAACGACUGCUAAUACCGGAUGACGUCGGAAUCUCGCAUGGGAUACUGACGAAAGGGUUACUGGAUCGGGAGAGCCUCGCGGCCUAUCAGCUUGUUGGUGAGGUAACGGCUCACCAAGGCAUCGACGGGUAGCUGGUCUGAGAGGAUGAUCAGCCACACUGGGACUGAGACACGGCCCAGACUCCUACGGGAGGCAGCAGUGGGGAAUCUUGCGCAAUGGGCGAAAGCCUGACGCAGCAACGCCGCGUGCGGGAAGAAGGCCCUCGGGUUGUAAACCGCUUUCAGUAGGAACGAAAAUGACGGUACCUGCAGAAGAAUGUCGCCUUUCCA
rnacentral:rRNA from 1 species